rnacentral:rRNA from 1 species
UACGUAGGGGGCGAGCGUUAUCCGGAUUUACUGGGUGUAAAGGGAGCGUAGACGGCCAUGCAAGCUCGGUGUGAAAGGUGCGGGCACAACCCGCAGACUGCACUGAGAACUGUAUGGCUGGAGUGCCGGAGGGGCAGGCGGAAUUCCUGGUGUAGCGGUGAAAUGCGUAGAUAUACGGAGGAACACCAGUGGCGAAGGCGGCCUGCUGGACAUUAACUGACGCUGAGGCGCGAAAGCAUGGGUAGCGAACAGG